GAGGAAAUGAGAUGGUGUUUAAUACCUUCUUUCUCUUAUUCACAGAGGUGGAGAACCACACUUGAAGGACUCUCAGCUGCUAGACGUGUGAAUCAAUGCCAAGUCCUUGUCCUCCUCAGACAGCCUAGCGAAGGUGCAGGAGG
rnacentral:lncRNA from 1 species